UGGGGAAUUUUGGACAAUGGGCGCAAGCCUGAUCCAGCCAUGCCGCGUGCGGGAAGAAGGCCUUCGGGUUGUAAACCGCUUUUGUCAGGGAAGAAAUCUUCUGAGUUAAUACCUCGGGAGGAUGACGGUACCUGAAGAAUAAGCACCGGCUAACUACGUGCCAGCAGCCGCGGUAAUACGUAGGGUGCAAGCGUUAAUCGGAAUUACUGGGCGUAAAGCGUGCGCAGGCGGUUUUGUAAGACAGAGGUGAAAUCCCCGGGCUCAACCUGGGAACUGCCUUUGUGACUGCAAGGCUUGAGUGCGGCAGAGGGGGGAUGGAAUUCCGCGUGUAGCAGUGAAAUGCGUAGAUAUGCGGAGGAACACCGAUGGCGAAGGCAAUCCCCUGGGCCUGCACUGACGCUCAUGCACGAAAGCGUGGGGAGCAAACAGGAUUAGAUAGCCCUGGUAGUCCACGCCCUAAACGAUGUCAACUGGUUGUUGGGAAGGUUCCUUCUCAGUAACGUAGCUAACGCGUGAAGUUGACCGCCUGGGGAGUACGGCCGCAAGGUUGAAAC
rnacentral:rRNA from 1 species